AAGUCAUAACAAGGUUUCUGUAGGUGAACCUGCAGAAGGAUCAUUAUUGAAUCGUAAAAAACGGGACGUUGUGCUUUCGAGCCGACGUCUCUACAUUCAUUUUUUCCUUUACACACCUGUGAAUCGUUGCUGAGCUCGCUCAGUGGCACAACCAAACUUUUUUUUACACAUAAGUAUUGAACGUAACAAAACAUAAAAUAAAAAAUAACUUUUGACAACGGAUCUCUUGGUUCUC
rnacentral:misc_RNA from 1 species